rnacentral:rRNA from 1 species
AAAUUGAAGAGUUUGAUCAUGGCUCAGAUUGAACGUUGGCGGCAGGCCUAAUACAUGCAAGUCGAGCGGUAACAGAUCGCUGUGAUCCCUUCGGGGUGAACUUGAUGCUGACGAGCGGCGGACGGGUGAGUAACGCGUAGGAAUCUACCCAGUAGCGGGGGAUAGCCCGGGGAAACUCGGAUUAAUACCGCAUACGCCCUACGGGGGAAAGGCGGGGAUCUCUUCGGAGACCUGUCACUAUUGGAGGAGCCUGCGUUGGAUUAGCUAGUUGG